rnacentral:rRNA from 1 species
GACGAACGCUGGCGGCGUGCUUAACACAUGCAAGUCGAACGGAAAGGCCCUGCUUUUGUGGGGUGCUCGAGUGGCGAACGGGUGAGUAACACGUGAGUAACCUGCCCUUGACUUUGGGAUAACUUCAGGAAACUGGGGCUAAUACCGGAUAGGAGCUCCUGCUGCAUGGUGGGGGUUGGAGAGUUUCGGCGGUUGGGGAUGGACUCGCGGCUUAUCAGCUUGUUGGUGGGGUAGUGGCUUACCAAGGCUUUGACGGGUAGCCGGCCUGAGAGGGUGACCGGCCACAUUGGGACUGAGAUACGGCCCAGACUCCUACGGGAGGCAGCAGUGGGGAAUAUUGCACAAUGGGCGGAAGCCUGAUGCAGCAACGCCGCGUGCGGGAUGACGGCCUUCGGGUUGUAAACCGCUUUCGCCUGUGACGAAGCGUGAGUGACGGUAAUGGGUAAAGAAGCACCGGCUAACUACGUGCCAGCAGCCGCGGUGAUACGUAGGGUGCGAGCGUUGUCCGGAUUUAUUGGGCGUAAAGGGCUCGUAGGUGGUUGAUCGCGUCGGAAGUGUAAUCUUGGGGCUUAACCCUGAGCGUGCUUUCGAUACGGGUUGACUUGAGGAAGGUAGGGGAGAAUGGAAUUCCUGGUGGAGCGGUGGAAUGCGCAGAUAUCAGGAGGAACACCAGUGGCGAAGGCGGUUCUCUGGGCCUUUCCUGACGCUGAGGAGCGAAAGCGUGGGGAGCGAACAGGCUUAGAUACCCUGGUAGUCCACGCUGUAAACGGUGGGUACUAGGUGUGGGGUCCAUUCCACGGGUUCCGUGCCGUAGCUAACGCUUUAAGUACCCCGCCUGGGGAGUACGGCCGCAAGGCUAAAACUCAAAGGAAUUGACGGGGCCCCGCACAAGCGGCGGAGCAUGCGGAUUAAUUCGAUGCAACGCGUAGAACCUUACCUGGGUUUGACAUGGAUCGGGAGUGCUCAGAGAUGGGUGUGCCUCUUUUGGGGUCGGUUCACAGGUGGUGCAUGGCUGUCGUCAGCUCGUGUCGUGAGAUGUUGGGUUGAGUCCCGCAACGAGCGCAACCCUUGUUCACUGUUGCCAGCACGUUAUGGUGGGGACUCAGUGGAGACCGCCGGGGUCAACUCGGAGGAAGGUGGGGAUGACGUCAAGUCAUCAUGCCCCUUAUGUCCAGGGCUUCACGCAUGCUACAAUGGCUGGUACAGAGAGUGGCGAGCCUGUGAGGGUGAGCGAAUCUCGGAAAGCCGGUCUCAGUUCGGAUUGGGGUCUGCAACUCGACCUCAUGAAGUCGGAGUCGCUAGUAAUCGCAGAUCAGCAACGCUGCGGUGAAUACGUUCCCGGG